rnacentral:rRNA from 1 species
CCUACGGGGUGCAGCAGGCGCGCAAACUUUACAAUGCGAGCAAUCGUGAUAAGGAAACCCUGAGUGCCUGUCGAUGCAGGCUGUUCAUAUAUCUAAAUCAUAUGUGAAGAAAGGGCAGGGCAAGACCGGUGCCAGCCGCCGCGGUAAUACCGGCUGCUCGAGUGAUGGCCACUAUUACUGGGUUUAAAGCGUUCGUAGCUGGGUCGUUAAGUCUCUUGGGAAAUCUACCGGCUUAACCGAUAGGCGUCCAAGGGAUACUGGCGAUCUAGGAACUGGGAGAGGUAAACCGUACUUCGGGGGUAGGAGUGAAAUCUUGUAAUCCUCGAGGGACGACCUAUGGCGAAGGCAGUUUACCAGAACAGCUUCGACAGUGAGGGACGAAAGCUGGGGGAGCAAACGGGAUUAGAUACCCUGGUAGUCC